rnacentral:rRNA from 1 species
GUUGUAUGGUUAAGUGACUAAGCGUACACGGUGGAUGCCUUGGCAGUCAGAGGCGAUGAAAGACGUAGUAACUUGCGAUAAGCCCAGAUUAGGUAGUAACAACCAUUUGAGUCUGGGAUUUCUGAAUGGGGAAACCCACUUACAUAAGUAAGUAUCAUUAAUUGAAUACAUAGGUUAAUGAGGCGAACCGGGGGAACUGAAACAUCUAAGUACCCCGAGGAAAAGAAAUCAACCGAGAUUCCGAAAGUAGCGGCGAGCGAAAUUGGACUAGCCCUUAAGCUUUACACGCGUUAGACGAACGGUCUGGAAAGUCCGACGAUACAGGGUGAUAGUCCCGUAGUUGACGACGUGUGUUCAGUGAAAUCGAGUAGGGCGGGACACGUGAUAUCCUGUCUGAAUAUGGGGGGACCAUCCUCCAAGGCUAAAUACUACUGACUGACCGAUAGUGAACCAGUACCGUGAGGGAAAGGCGAAAAGAACCCCUGUGAGGGGAGUGAAAUAGAACCUGAAACCGUGUACGUACAAGCAGUAGGAGCAGGCUUUGUCCUGUGACUGCGUACCUUUUGUAUAAUGGGUCAGCGACUUAUAUUCAGUGGCAAGGUUAACCAUCUAGGGGAGCCGUAGGGAAACCGAGUCUUAACUGGGCGUUCAGUCUCUGGAUAUAGACCCGAAACCAGGUGAUCUAGCCAUGGGCAGGUUGAAGGUUGAGUAACAUCAACUGGAGGACCGAACCGACUAAUGUUGAAAAAUUAGCGGAUGACUUGUGGCUAGGGGUGAAAGGCCAAUCAAACCUGGAGAUAGCUGGUUCUCCCCGAAAGCUAUUUAGGUAGCGCCUCGGACGAAUACUACUGGGGGUAGAGCACUGUUAAGGCUAGGGGGUCAUCCCGACUUACCAACCCUUUGCAAACUCCGAAUACCAGUAAGUACUAUCCGGGAGACACACGGCGGGUGCUAACGUCCGUCGUGGAGAGGGAAACAACCCAGACCGCCAGCUAAGGUCCCAAAUUACUACUAAGUGGGAAACGAUGUGGGAAGGCUCAGACAGCCAGGAUGUUGGCUUAGAAGCAGCCAUCAUUUAAAGAAAGCGUAAUAGCUCACUGGUCGAGUCGGCCUGCGCGGAAGAUGUAACGGGGCUAAGUAGUAAACCGAAGCUGCGGCAAUGUGCUUUUGCACAUUGGGUAGGGGAGCGUUCUGUAAGCGGUUGAAGGUGUGUGGUAACGCAUGCUGGACGUAUCAGAAGUGCGAAUGCUGACAUGAGUAACGAUAAAGGGGGUGAAAAACCUCCUCGCCGGAAGACCAAGGGUUCCUGUCCAACGUUAAUCGGGGCAGGGUAAGUCGACCCCUAAGGCGAGGCCGAAAGGCGUAGUCGAUGGGAAACGGGUUAAUAUUCCCGUACUUCUUACAAUUGCGAUGGGGGGACGGAGAAGGCUAGGUGGGCCUGGCGACGGUUGUCCAGGUUCAAGUGCGUAGGCUUAAGAGUUAGGUAAAUCCGGCUCUUUUUAAGGCUGAGACACGACGUCGAGCACCUACGGGUGUGAAGUCAUUGAUGCCAUGCUUCCAGGAAAAGCCUCUAAGCUUCAGAUUGUAAGGAAUCGUACCCCAAACCGACACAGGUGGUCGGGUAGAGAAUACCAAGGCGCUUGAGAGAACUCGGGUGAAGGAACUAGGCAAAAUGGUACCGUAACUUCGGGAGAAGGUACGCUCUCGACGGUGAAGUCCCUCGCGGAUGGAGCUAUUGAGAGUCGCAGAUACCAGGUGGCUGCAACUGUUUAUUAAAAACACAGCACUGUGCAAAAUCGUAAGAUGACGUAUACGGUGUGACGCCUGCCCGGUGCCGGAAGGUUAAUUGAUGGGGUUAGACUUCGGUCGAAGCUCUUGAUCGAAGCCCCGGUAAACGGCGGCCGUAACUAUAACGGUCCUAAGGUAGCGAAAUUCCUUGUCGGGUAAGUUCCGACCUGCACGAAUGGCGUAAUGAUGGCCACGCUGUCUCCACCCGAGACUCAGUGAAAUUGAAAUCGCUGUGAAGAUGCAGUGUACCCGCGGCUAGACGGAAAGACCCCGUGAACCUUUACUACAGCUUGGCACUGAACAUUGACCCUACAUGUGUAGGAUAGGUGGGAGGCUUUGAAGCACGUACGCCAGUAUGUGUGGAGCCGUCCUUGAAAUACCACCCUUGUAGUGUUGAUGUUCUAACGUUGACCCCUUAUCGGGGUUGCGGACAGUGCCUGGUGGGUAGUUUGACUGGGGCGGUCUCCUCCCAAAGAGUAACGGAGGAGCACGAAGGUGGGCUAAUCACGGUUGGACAUCGUGAGGUUAGUGCAAUGGCAUAAGCCCGCUUGACUGCGAGAAUGACAAUUCGAGCAGGUGCGAAAGCAGGUCAUAGUGAUCCGGUGGUUCUGAAUGGAAGGGCCAUCGCUCAACGGAUAAAAGGUACUCCGGGGAUAACAGGCUGAUACCGCCCAAGAGUUCAUAUCGACGGCGGUGUUUGGCACCUCGAUGUCGGCUCAUCACAUCCUGGGGCUGAAGUCGGUCCCAAGGGUAUGGCUGUUCGCCAUUUAAAGUGGUACGCGAGCUGGGUUUAGAACGUCGUGAGACAGUUCGGUCCCUAUCUGCCGUGGGCGUUGGAAGAUUGAAGGGGGCUGCUCCUAGUACGAGAGGACCGGAGUGGACGAACCUCUGGUGUUCGGGUUGUGUCGCCAGACGCAUUGCCCGGUAGCUAAGUUCGGAAUCGAUAACCGCUGAAAGCAUCUAAGCGGGAAGCGAGCCCUGAGAUGAGUCUUCCCUGAUACUUUAAGUAUCCUAAAGGGUUGUCGGAGACUACGACGUUGAUAGGUCAGGUGUGUAAGUGCUGUGAGGCAUUGAGCUAACUGAUACUAAUUGCCCGUGAGGCUUAACCAUACAACACCCAAGGGGUUU